ACGGGGCCCGCACAAGCGGCGGAGCAUGCGGAUUAAUUCGAUGCAACGCGAAGAACCUUACCAAGGCUUGACAUAUACGGUCUAUCCCUAGAGAUAGGGAGUGCUUCGGCGCCGUAUACAGGUGGUGCAUGGUUGUCGUCAGCUCGUGUCGUGAGAUGUUGGGUUAAGUCCCGCAACGAGCGCAACCCUCGUUCUAUGUUGCCAGCGCGUAAUGGCGGGGACUCAUAGGAGACUGCCGGGGUCAACUCGGAGGAAGGUGGGAUGACGUCAAAUCAUCAUGCCCCUUAUGUCUUGGGCUUCACGCAUGCUACAAUGGCCGGUACAAAGGGCUGCGAUACCGCAAGGUGGAGCGAAUCCCAAAAAGCCGGUCUCAGUUCGGAUUGAGGUCUGCAACUCGACCUCAUGAAGUCGGAGUCGCUAGUAAUCGCAGAUCAGCAACGCUGCGGUGAAUACGUUCCCGGGCCUU
rnacentral:rRNA from 1 species